GAUGAACGCUAGCGGCAGGCUUAACACAUGCAAGUCGAGGGGCAGCGCGAUGUAGCAAUACAUUGGCGGCGACCGGCGCACGGGUGCGUAACACGUAUGCAACCUUCCCGCCACUGGGGGAUAGCCCGGAGAAAUCCGGAUCAAUACCCCAUAAUUCCCUGGGAGGCAUCUCCUGGGGCUGAAAACUCCGGUGGUGGCGGAUGGGCAUGCGCACGAUAGCUAGUUGGUGAGGUAACGGCUCACCAAGGCUACGAUCGUUAGGGGGCCUGAGAGGGUUAUCCCCCACACUGGUACUGAGACACGGACCAGACUCCUACGGAGGCAGCAGUGAGAAUAUUGCGCAAUGGAGGCAACUCUGACGCAGCCAUGCCGCGUGCAGGAAGAA
rnacentral:rRNA from 1 species